rnacentral:misc_RNA from 1 species
GAUGAAGAACGCAGCGAAAUGCGAUACUUGGUGUGAAUUGCAGAAUCCCGUGAACCAUCGAGUCUUUGAACGCAAGUUGCGCCUCAAGCCAUUAGGUUGAGGGCACGUCUGCCUGGGCGUCACAUAUCGUUGCCUGAUGCCAGUUUCCUCGUGAUGGGUGACUGUGCAGGGCGAAUGAUGGCUUCCCGUGAGCAUUGUUGCCUCAUGGUUGGUUGAAAAUUGAGUCCUUGGUAAGGAGCGCCGUGAUAGAUGGUGGUUGAGUGACGAACGAGACCCAAUCAUGUGAGACCCCUACCGAAUUUGGCCUUCAUGACCCACAUGCGUCUUUGGAACGCUCAUGACGAGACCUCAGGUCAGGCGGGGCUACCCGCUGAGUUUAAGCAUAUCAAUAAGCGGAGGA